UACGUAGGGGGCAAGCGUUGUCCGGAUUUAUUGGGCGUAAAGCGUGCGCAGGCGGUUAUGUAAGACAGAUGUGAAAUGCCCGGGCUUAACCUGGGAACUGCAUUUGUGACUGCAUGGCUAGAGUUUGGCAGAGGGGGGGUAGAAUUCCACGUGUAGCAGUGAAAUGCGUAGAUAUGUGGAGGAACACCGAUGGCGAAGGCAGCCCCCUGGGUCAAGACUGACGCUCAUGCACGAAAGCGUGGGGAGCAAACAGG
rnacentral:rRNA from 1 species